rnacentral:rRNA from 1 species
UCCUACGGGAGGCAGCAGUGGGGAAUAUUGGACAAUGGGGGCAACCCUGAUCCAGCCAUGCCGCGUGAGUGAUGAAGGCCCUAGGGUUGUAAAGCUCUUUUGUGCGGGAAGAUAAUGACGGUACCGCAAGAAUAAGCCCCGGCUAACUUCGUGCCAGCAGCCGCGGUAAUACGAAGGGGGCUAGCGUUGCUCGGAAUCACUGGGCGUAAAGGGUGCGUAGGCGGGUUUUUAAGUCAGGGGUGAAAUCCUGGAGCUCAACUCCAGAACUGCCUUUGAUACUGAAGAUCUUGAGUUCGGGAGAGGUGAGUGGAACUGCGAGUGUAGAGGUGAAAUUCGUAGAUAUUCGCAAGAACACCAGUGGCGAAGGCGGCUCACUGGCCCGAUACUGACGCUGAGGCACGAAAGCRUGGGGAGCAAACAGGAUUAGAUACCCUGGUAGUCCACGCCGUAAACGAUGAAUGCCAGCCGUUAGUGGGUUU